GGGGGCAUAGCUCAGUGGUAGAGCAUCAGACUGCAGAUCGGAAUGUCCCGGUUCAACCCGGGUGCCCCCU
rnacentral:tRNA from 1 species